rnacentral:rRNA from 1 species
GCGCAAGGGUGCGUAACGCGUGAGCAACAUGCCCGUAUCAGGGGGAUAAUCCAGGGAAACUUGGUCUAAUACCCCAUAGCAAUUGAAGGAGGCAUCUUCUUUGAUUUAAAGCUUUGGUGGAUACGGAUUGGCUCGCGUGACAUUAGCUAGAUGGUAAGGUAACGGCUUACCAUGGCUACGAUGUCUAGGGGUUCUGAGAGGAAGGUCCCCCACACUGGAACUGAGACACGGUCCAGACUCCUACGGGAGGCAGCAGUGAGGAAUAUUGGACAAUGGAUGGAAAUCUGAUCCAGCCAUGCCGCGUGCAGGAAGACGGCCCUAUGGGUUGUAAACUGCUUUUAUAUGGGAGCAAUAAGACCUACGUGUAGGUCGAUGAGAGUACCAUAUGAAUAAGCACCGGCUAACUCCGUGCCAGCAGCCGCGGUAAUACGGAGGGUGCAAGCGUUAUCCGGAUUUAUUGGGUUUAAAGGGUGCGUAGGCGGUUUGAUAAGUCAGCGGUGAAAUAUUUCAGCUUAACUGGAAGGGUGCCGUUGAUACUGUCGAGCUUGAAUUUAGUUGCUGUGGGUGGAAUGUGUGGUGUAGCGGUGAAAUGCAUAGAUAUCACACAGAAUAUCGAUUGCGAAGGCAGCUCACAAAGCUAAUAUUGACGCUGAUGCACGAAGUGUGGGGAUCAAACAGGAUUAGAUACCCUGGUAGUCCACACUGUAAACGAUGAUAACUCGCUGUCGGCGAUACACAGUCGGUGGCCAAGCGAAAGCGAUAAGUUAUCCACCUGGGGAGUACGACCGCAAGGUUGAAACUCAAAGGAAUUGACGGGGGCCCGCACAAGCGGAGGAACAUGUGGUUUAAUUCGAUGAUACGCGA